AGCUCAUUUUCAAGUGCAACAGCAAGGUGCUUCUUCAUUACGACUGGACAGUCUUUACCUUCGGUCUCGCCUUCCUCUGAGGAGAUGAGUAUGGUCC